ensembl:lncRNA
CUGAUUUCUUUUGUAUAUUGUCUAAUUACUGUUGUAUAAUGUCUGAUUGUUGUUGUAUGAUGUCUGAUUACAGUUUUAUAAUGUCUGGUUAUUGUUGUAACUGUUUGUAUUAUUGUUUGGUGUUGUGUCCUUUGUCCAAGCAAUUACCGUAGAUAUUUCACUGUGAACAUGAGCACACUAAUAGACUAGCGAAAUACUACUAGCAACAAAUGCUCCCCUUUUCACUGACAUUAUGUACAAUGACCUGAAUGUAUAUGCUUAAAAAAGAAAAGAUCAAAGUGUUUAAGUUUGUUGUUUUUUAAUGGGAGAGUGUGUGUGUGUGUCAUUGUUAAAAAAAAUUGCUUGGAGGUACAUUUGUUGUAAAAUCAACAUACAGAUCACAAUGCACUGGACACAGCACGUCAUUUCAACUUGCAAAUGUGGGUAACAUUUGGUUGAGGUGUUCAUUAAAGAGGGUAACAUUUGGUUGAGGUGUUCAUUAAAGAGGGUAACAUUUGGUUGAGGUGUUCAUUAAUGUGGGUAACAUUUGGUUGAGGUGUUCAUUAAUGUCGGUAACAUUUGGUUGAGGUGUUCAUUAAAGAGGGUAACAUUUGGUUGAGGUGUUCAUAAAUGUGGGUAACAUUUGUUUGAGGUGUUCAUUAAUGAGGGUAACAUUGAGGGCCUGCAUGUAAGUGUUUGCAUGUUUUGGCCCCUACCUGUACCUGGUUGAAAAUGAAUGGCACUUACUAGUUAGCAUUCCCCUUAACUGAUUUUAUAGGACUUAAUUGUACAUGAGUUGAAAGC